UCCCGAUAAAUCUCUACUUUGAGGGAACCCCUAAGCUUUCAGUGCUGAGUGCCAGCAAUCACCGGCGACUACUUCCUCGGAUCGGCGACAACUGUCGGCCACUGAUUGCCCAGGUCCUCAAUCAGAGUCUGCAUGGAAAUUUAUGCCCUAAUCAAGAAGCUUGUGCCUUGUGCUACUGCACCUAAAAGCCUUGGCCCAGUCCAAGAAAGCAAAGCACAGACUUAGACAGCCUGCUCUUGUUCCUGCAGCUUAUGCCAAGGUGAUGAAGAAGCUCUUCUUCUGUGCUUAAAACAUUUGGAGCCCUCUCCAAAUUCUGACAAUUCCUGGUUGAAGCUAUUGCACAAUUUUGUGUUUCCUUCUUUUUGCUUUAAGGUUGGGGUUUUCUUUGGCCAAGGCAACCAAAUGGAUGAUGUAUGCUUAAGUUUCAUUGUGAAAAAUGGCUCUCAGGUCUGCUGAGUUAGAAAAGGGGGAAGCAAAUUCUAGAUGGCACUACUGAUGGUAAAUAUGGUGGAAAAAGAUUGUAGGAAGGAAAAAUGAGAUGGAUCACAAUAGAGCUCAAUUUUGAAAGCGUGUGACAAUAUGGACUGAAGAAGUUUAGGUUCUGUGCUUGAAUGAACAGAAAAGUCUUGGCUGUAGGCAAUUGAGUUCUUUCUCCUUUUUAAUGAAAAAGCUAAUUUUGUUGUGAGAAAAGAAUAAAGGGUCAAGCCCAUGUGCAUGAUUGUUCACAAAUAAAAACAAAUCAACUGGAAUGAGAGAUCCUAAAAAUUUGCAAAUGACAAGCCAACUACAGAAGUAUUUACCAUGCUCCAAGAAGAACAAGUUAAAGGCACAAUAUCAGCAAAUGCCCCUCCACCUCCUCAAACCACCUCCUCAAAAGUUCUCCAAAUAUUGCAGAGGAUGAAAUGAGAGCCACCCUACAAAAAUGAAUUCCUUAUUCUGGGUUUCUAUACUCCACCCUAGAAGUUACUCUUUGGAUGAUCUAGGCAUUGGUGACCUGAAGAGGGAAAAAAAUAAUAAAAAUCCAAAGCAAAUUGACAAUGUAAGGAAAGUUGAUCCACCAACUGUGCUUCAUUCUUGCAUUUACCACCAUUAAGCAAAGAAUGCCACUUUUGGCAGAAAGGUCAAGAGUUUACUGGGGACAAGGGCAGAGUGACUCUACCAUAUUCUCAAAGCAUUCAAUAUUAGUUUGCUAUUGAACCUUGCAAAAUUCAUAAAGAUGCUCUCAGUGUUCAGCCAGCAUUAAUAGAGAAUGAUAAGAAGCUAUCAGAGAAGAUCAACAUUCUGUGCUUGAUGGAACUUAUCUUCAGCCAUCCAUUGAAGAUUGCCUACAUAUCAUUGCUGAGAGCAUGAAACUUUCCAUAGCAAAUGUGGAGUAUUUUCUUAUGAAGAGCCUUUUGGUAUCAUCUGUUGAUUCUUUGAAUUAGGAGGCCAUAAAAUGCAAGUAAGCAUUCAUGGGUGGUACAAAAGGACAAUACACCAAUGAAGUGGCCACCAAGUUGUUGAUGUAUCCAUGAAGGUAGUCUAGAAAACACAACAUCAAAGGAGUGGCUACAAAACUUUGAAUGAAAUUUGGAGUACCCCCUUUAGUUUCAGAAAGGAAACAUUUGGACUAUGGAUUGUGCAGAAAUGCGAGUUUUAAACUGUACUUACGGGACAACAGCUGCAUCAGCAAUUGAUGGGUGGCUCACCAGAAGGGCCUCAAGCUCAGCAGGCGGUACCUGAACGAAACAUAGGUACGUUAUAAUCCAGUGCUACUUCAAUGGCAAUGUAGCAUACAAGUGUACUAUACAAAAGGAGUUUGCAAUAAAAGUAACCCUCUUUUAAAAAAAAUUCUCAAUCUACAUUGCUUUAGAAAAUAUUCACCAAACUAGUGCAUCUUUGCUACAUCAACAUCUAUAUAUUAUUAUUUUAUAUUUUUUUCAUGUCAAAACCAGAGUCACUGACAGUGGUUUUAACAUGAAAAAUAAAAAAAUAAAGUGAACGGUGAUGUACUAGAAGACUAAAUUGGUGAAUAUUUUCAAAAACAUUUUAGAUUUAGAAUUUUUUUGAAAAAGGAUUAGUUUUAAGGUAACCUCCUUCAAAAGUAAAGGACCUAACUACUCUACAAAAUAGUUCAACAAUGUUGAUGACCCUAAAAAUUAAGGUAAUGUUUUAGUGUUAGCAUGUAAUUAUACUAGUAUAGGGAAGGUAAGCGAUCCUUGUACUUUUUGUUGCAUUUCAAUGUCAAUGACCCUAAAACUUAAGGUAACCAUAACUAUAUGUUAUAGGAACCCAAAUGAUGUCGAUGACCCUAAACAAUAAGGUAAACUUCUAGUGUUAAUGUGUAGAGGGAGGGAAAAUAAGGUAUCGUUUUGGCGAUAAUAUGUAAUAUUGUAACCAUACUAUUGAUGAAAUGCAGUCUACCUUCACA